rnacentral:tRNA from 1 species
AUACACUGGUCUUGUAAACCAGAAAAGGAGAAUAGCCAAUCUCCCUAAGAC